rnacentral:RNase_P_RNA from 1 species
GCGGCAGAUGAUCGCGGCUCCCGUAUGGGAGGUGAGGAAAGUCCGGGCUUCACAGGGCAGGAUGCCGGAUAACGUCCGGUGGAGGUGACUCCAAGGCCAGUGCAACAGAAAAAUACCGCCGGCCUUUGCCGGUAAGGGUGGAAAGGCAGCUUAAGAGACUACCGCUCUGAUGGUAACAUCAGAGGCACAUGUAAACCCCAUCCGAAGCAAGACCAAACAGGAAGCCAUAAAGCUUGCCCGGCCAGCUUCCAGGUAGGUCGCUUGAGGCUGUUGGCGACAGCAGUCCUAGAUAGAUGAUCAUCCAACGACAUAACCCGGCUUACCGCCGCGCUUG